rnacentral:rRNA from 1 species
UACGAAGGGGGCGAGCGUUGUUCGGAAUCACUGGGCGUAAAGGGCGCGUAGGCGGCCCCUUCUUGUCGCGUGUGAAAGCCCCGGGCUCAACCUGGGAACGGCGCGCGAGACGGGAGGGCUGGAGUUCGGGAGAGGAGCGUGGAAUUCCCAGUGUAGAGGUGAAAUUCGUAGAUAUUGGGAAGAACACCGGUGGCGAAGGCGGCGCUCUGGACCGAGACUGACGCUGAGGCGCGAAAGCGUGGGGAGCGAACAGG